UACGGAGGGUGCGAGCGUUGUCCGGAAUCACUGGGCGUAAAGGGCGCGUAGGCGGCCCGGCAAGUCAACGGUGAAAGCUUGGGGCUCAACCCCGAGUCGGCCGUCGAUACUUCCGGGCUGGAGCACUGUAGAGGCAGGUGGAAUUUCGGGUGUAGCGGUGGAAUGCGUAGAGAUCCGGAAGAACACCGGUGGCGAAGGCGGGUUGCUGGAGCCGGGCCGACGCUGAGACGCGAAAGCGCGGGGAGCGAACCGG
rnacentral:rRNA from 1 species